rfam:Schistosoma haematobium scaffold3667_1, whole genome shotgun sequence.
AUCUAGCUGACGAGUCCCAAAUGGGACACAACACGUGUACUGGAU